rnacentral:rRNA from 1 species
GAUGAACGCUGGCGGCGUGCCUAACACAUGCAAGUCGAACGGAAAGACCCUGCUCUUGUGCGGUUCUCGAUUGCCGAAGGCGUGAGUGUCACGCGUGUAUCCUCCCCUUGUCUUUCUGGGAACUUCACGUAACUGCGGCUAAUAUCGUAUAUGAUCUCCUGCACCAUAGUGGGCGUUGGAGAGUUUCGGCUGUUGGAGAUGGACUCGCGGCUUAUCAGCUAGUUGGUGGAGUAGUGGCUUACCAAGGCUUUGACGGGUAGCCUGCCUGAGAGGGGUACCGGCGACAAUGGGACUGAGAGAGGGACCAGAAGGGUACGGGAGGCAGCAGUGGAGAGUAUUGCACAAUGGGCGGAAGCCAGAGGCAGCAACGCCGGGUGCGGGAAGACGGCCUUCGGGUUAAGAACAGAUUUCGCCUGUGACGAAGUGUGAGUGACGGUAAUGAAUAAAGAAGCACCGGCUAACUACGUG